GAUGAACGCUGGCGGCGUGCCUAAUACAUGCAAGUCGAGCGAACAGAUGAGGAGCUUGCUCCUCUGACGUUAGCGGCGGACGGGUGAGUAACACGUGGAUAACCUACCUAUAAGACUGGGAUAACUUCGGGAAACCGGAGCUAAUACCGGAUAAUAUAUUGAACCGCAUGGUUCAAUAGUGAAAGACGGUUUUGCUGUCACUUAUAGAUGGAUCCGCGCCGCAUUAGCUAGUUGGUAAGGUAACGGCUUACCAAGGCAACGAUGCGUAGCCGACCUGAGAGGGUGAUCGGCCACACUGGAACUGAGACACGGUCCAGACUCCUACGGGAGGCAGCAGUAGGGAAUCUUCCGCAAUGGGCGAAAGCCUGACGGAGCAACGCCGCGUGAGUGAUGAAGGUCUUCGGAUCGUAAAACUCUGUUUUAGGGAAGAACAAAUGUGUAAGUAACUAUGCACGUCUUGACGGUACCUAAUCAGAAAGCCACGGCUAACUACGUG
rnacentral:rRNA from 1 species